rnacentral:rRNA from 1 species
UACAGAGGGUGCAAGCGUUAAUCGGAAUUACUGGGCGUAAAGCGUGCGCAGGCGGUUAUGCAAGACAGAUGUGAAAUCCCCGGGCUCAACCUGGGAACUGCAUUUGUGACUGCAUGGCUAGAGUACGGCAGAGGGGGAUGGAAUUCCGCGUGUAGCAGUGAAAUGCGUAGAUAUGCGGAGGAACACCAAUGGCGAAGGCAAUCCCCUGGGCCUGUACUGACGCUCAUGCACGAAAGCGUGGGGAGCAAACAGG